GUCCACGCUGUAAACGGUGAGCACUAGGUGUAGCGGGUAUUGACCCCUGCUGUGCCGCAGCUAACGCAUUAAGUGCUCCGCCUGGGGAGUACGGUCGCAAGAUUAAAACUCAAAGGAAUUGACGGGGCCCCGCACAAGCGGUGGAGCAUGUGGUUUAAUUCGAUGCAACGCGCAGAACCUUACCCGGGCUUGAAAUCACCUGGAAGCAUAUGGAAACAUAUGUGCCCGCGAGGGCUGGGUGACAGGUGCUGCAUGGCUGUCGU
rnacentral:rRNA from 1 species